GACGUUUGAACUUAGCCUCAGUCUCCAAAAAUCUUGCACUCUAGGCCAUCUAAGUAUUUGAUACUGUUUUCUAGUUUUUCUACAGUAGAAUAACAACACCUGCCUUCAGCUGUAGCGAGUGAUCGACAAGGGGCAAAGGAAAGAGAUUCAUCUAGAUGUUAAACAAUAAGGCGCAGAAGACUUCGAAUAAGUCAGCAGGAUACAUUACUGUGUUAUAUUUCCCGGAAUAAAGAAAUCAUGGAAUUUAAAGGAUGCAUUUAGCUAUGAAUGGAAUCCCUGAAUUUGGCGGGAAAAGUCGGACUAGCUGCAUUUUUCAAGCUGCGGUGCGCAUACGUUCAAUAGUCUCAAGGCUGCGAGGCGACAUCCGUUUCUGUCGUUACUUCCCCAGCGGACACGGCGGCUAGAUCUUGUUCCCACGCAUAGUGAGUUGACGUAGAAUUCUUCAAUCUCAAGUACCAACCAGAGUGAUCAGCCUCCCUAUAUACGACUUCUCACUAUAUAUAGCGUGCAAGUACAAGUCAAGUUUAGAACGUGAACACACAGGAACUGCUAGCGAACUUUCUAAAGAACAAGGACGACGCCUUUUAGAAAAAAGUUGCCAAGCCAUACAGAUGUCCAUACAAGAAAAAUACAUUUCACUCGUGGUGGUUGUAGCUAGCCUCGCUCUGGUGUCAAGUGCGCCCGCGUAUGAGUGCAGCAGUAUGUGUUAUGCGGAGUGGAAUGCUUGCAUGUCCCAAUGUAAUAUUAACACGUGCUACGAAUGCAGCAUGACAUUCAUCGAGUGCAAAGAAGAAUGUGGCGAAUUCAGGAGAUCAAUAUCAUCAGCGUUUAACGUGUUCCCAAGUCUGAGCCGUCGCGACAGGCGAGAAAUUCAUCGCGAGAAUAAGCCGUCUAUUACACGGAACGCGAAGCAUGUGGGCGGCGAGGCAAAAAGGACAGAUUUUAAACAGAUUAACGAGCUUACAGCGCAGAAAAACAUCCGGAAAAACAUUCGAGAACACUUACAAAAGCUUUUCCGGGGGUGAGACCACGCUAAGGGGAUAGCAUAUUUAUUACAUUAUACUAUUAUGAUUAUUUAUUUAAUUUUUGUGUUAUGUAAAUUAUUUACAUUUUGCAGCAUUGUUCUGGAAAAGAAGUGCAAAUACCUAUAUUUUUACUAAUGAUGUGUGCUUAGUAUUAUUUAUACUACGAGUGUGUGAAAGUCAGCCAAUCAACACAAUACUCUUCACAAUACCCCUCAUUACCGAAGAGGUCAUUACCCUGCUGGCCACUAAAUAGAGAGACGUUCGAGGCUCUGGAACCAGAGUAACAGGUCAUCUUAGAAAGAGAAACCUUUCAAGCCACAACCAAGACAAAGUCAAUAUCACGGCGGCAAUAUAAAUGAGGCUAAAUGACAAAAGAUUGAGUGUGAAGACAAAGGGAAUGCGGUGGUUCGUUCUUGCGGUGGCAAACAUAGACUGUGAAACUGUUCUUCCAUAGAUCUUACAAAACCCCCACAUCCUCAAUAGAGGCUUUAUUGAAAUAGCAUAAUACUCAACCUUACACUCAGACGUUUGGAGAAUGCUUUGUUUUUACGCAUAUGACCCCAUCGCGUCCUUGUUGUCGCGUGCAUACGUGCCACCCGCGGCCCUCGCGCGUCUUCCUGCGGCCAGGUUGCGGAAAUAAAUUCGGAAAUAAUCUAAAUUAAAAUUUCCGGAAAUUGUCAUCAUUUUACUGCUCCGUUUGAUCUCUUUCUAGAUGUUUAUCUAGCGGUUAGCAUAAGAUAUGAAUUAAUUGAUAUAGGUCAAUGUUUUCCGUUCUGAAUAAACUGGUUCUUCAUCUAGCUUUAGCUGCAAUUACUAGUUAUUUUAACUCGUAACCGCACCCGCAAUGAAACUACACUCUGAAACACACAACACCCACAGUUAUGAGGAACAUGGGAUUACCUCAUGUUCUUGAAUGUCUUGUCACGAAUUUUAAGCCACGUUAAUUCUUUCCACCCCUCCCCGCGGAUGAAUUGUGUCGCAUCUAUUUCCUCCACUGUUGUGUACCACGCCCUGGCUAGCUUAUCGGUACCGCACGUCGGCGGAAAAACUAUUACAGCGUCUGCAUUGCGACUGUCGCAUUCAUUUGUAAUUCCAUCAAUUCCGGGUAAAAUGGUGUAUGAUGAUGAUAUUUGAUAAUGUGUAGAAGGAAUUAUAAGGGGCACAUCAACACUCAAGUUUGUUUGCGCACGGAAUAUACGAAAUAUUUAUUUCAUAAGCAGUCUUCGCUAAGGGCUCAUGGAACUCUGUGAUGUCAAUGUAUGAAAGCGGGUGACCAAGAGAACCAUAAAAAUCCAUGUAAGAUCCCCAACUCCCAUCUCUCUGGUUGAUUUUUAAAGGAAAUUAAAUUCAGGUCCGCAACCAAGUAAAUGUUAUGCAAAA